UNNNCCCCUCAAAUUUUUUAAAAAAAUUUUUCUCGUUCCAGGAAACCGCUUCAAUGCCCGGCUAAUUCACAAGGGGGGGCCCCCAUUUAAAAAUACAUUGGUGGCGACCGGCGCACGGGUGAGUAACGCGUAUGCAACCUACCUAUCAGAGGGGAAUAACCCGGCGAAAGUCGGACUAAUACCGCAUAAAACAGGGGUUCCACAUGGAAAUAUUUGUUAAAGAAUUAUCGCUGAUAGAUGGGCAUGCGUUCCAUUAGAUAGUUGGUGAGGUAACGGCUCACCAAGUCCACGAUGGAUAGGGGUUCUGAGAGGAAGGUCCCCCACACUGGUACUGAGACACGGACCAGACUCCUACGGGAGGCAGCAGUGAGGAAUAUUGGUCAAUGGGCGAGAGCCUGAACCAGCCAAGUCGCGUGAAGGAUGAAGGAUCUAUGGUUUGUAAACUUCUUUUAUAUGGGAAUAAAGUGAGGAACGUGUUCCUUUUUGUAUGUACCAUAUGAAUAAGCAUCGGCUAACUCCGUGCCAGCAGCCGCGGUAAUACGGAGGAUGCGAGCGUUAUCCGGAUUUAUUGGGUUUAAAGGGUGCGUAGGUGGUUAAUUAAGUCAGCGGUGAAAGUUUGUGGCUCAACCAUAAAAUUGCCGUUGAAACUGGUUGACUUGAGUAUAUUUGAGGUAGGCGGAAUGCGUGGUGUAGCGGUGAAAUGCAUAGAUAUCACGCAGAACUCCGAUUGCGAAGGCAGCUUACUAAACUAUAACUGACACUGAAGCACGAAAGCGUGGGGAUCAAACAGGAUUAGAUACCCUGGUAGUCCACGCAGUAAACGAUGAUUACUAGCUGUUUGCGAUACACAGUAAGCGGCACAGCGAAAGCGUUAAGUAAUCCACCUGGGGAGUACGCCGGCAACGGUGAAACUCAAAGGAAUUGACGGGGGCCCGCACAAGCGGAGGAACAUGUGGUUUAAUUCGAUGAUACGCGAGGAACCUUACCCGGGUUUGAACGCAUUCUGACCGCACUGGAAACACAUUUUCUAGUAAUAGCAGUUUGCGAGGUGCUGCAUGGUUGUCGUCAGCUCGUGCCGUGAGGUGUCGGCUUAAGUGCCAUAACGAGCGCAACCCUUAUCCCUAGUUACUAACAGGUCAUGCUGAGGACCCUAGUGAGACUGCCACCGUAAGCUGUGAGGAAGGUGGGGAUGACUUCAAAUCAGCACGGCCCUUACAUCCGGGGCGACACACGUGUUACAAUGGUGGGGACAAAGGGCAGCUACCGUGUGAGCGGAUGCUAAUCUCCAAACCCCAUCUCAGUUCGGAAUACAAUUUGGCACCCNNACUUCGUUAAUCGGGAGCAGCUAGUAGUCGCGCAAUACACCACUAGGACUACNGAUGCAAUUCGACGUUCACNUCGUUCCGCGGGG
rnacentral:rRNA from 1 species